rnacentral:lncRNA from 1 species
GCAAAGCUGUCAGGAAUGAGGGCCACGUGCGGCUCAUCUGGGCCCGGCCAGGGGAGAGCAGACAGACUGAGUCAGGGCUUGCCAGGACAUCAAGUGAGGAUGGCCACCGGAGCCGCCCCGCACACCCCGACUGAGCUAUUCUGGGUCACAGACAGCAACAUCCCAGCAGGAUCAGGACCUGAGAGAGGGGCUCUAGACAGAAAUGGGCCCAUCGCUCGGCAGAAACAACAACACAGCGCUGGAGACAGUGAAACUCUCUGACCACCACCGGCUCCACCAGGACUGUAGGCAAAACUGGGCACUUCUGGGUCAGGAAGCCACCCACAGCCGGGGGUGCAUGACUAGUCUGGCUUGUGACUGAGGGCUGCCCCUCGGGAGAACCUGCAUUUCUGAGCACGUUCGCUUCCAUGUAAUGUGUGGUAGGGCUUGUUCCCUGGCCUGGUGAGAUGGGGAGGAGGGGGUUGUAAAUGGGGAAGGACACAAGGCCCCGGGGCGUUUGGUACCCAGACUCUGCCAGCACUCACACACCAGCAAGGCCAACAGGAUGACUUGGUGUGAUUCAGGUUUUCAGUGGCUGCAAAACCAGCCCACCAAGCAGUUCUCCACUCACCCUGCCAAUGAAUGGGCAUCCUUUCCCUGUCCCCAGGCCAGGUCACUACCAGUGGCAGGCAAGGGAAGGAGUCAGCAGGUCACCACGGUUCAGCAAGCACUGGGCACCCAAGUGCUAGGGAGGAAGGGAUGAAUUCAAUGCAGAACAAGCCCAGGGCCCCACAGAAAAGGGCACUGCCCUUCCCAGAACUUGAGCUCUGGGACUACGCAU